UGGGGAAUUUUGGACAAUGGGGGCAACCCUGAUCCAGCCAUGCCGCGUGAGUGAAGAAGGCCUUCGGGUUGUAAAGCUCUUUCGGCCGGGAAGAAAUCGCAUGGGUUAAUACCCUGUGUGGAUGACGGUACCGGAAUAAGAAGCACCGGCUAACUACGUGCCAGCAGCCGCGGUAAUACGUAGGGUGCGAGCGUUAAUCGGAAUUACUGGGCGUAAAGCGUGCGCAGGCGGUUUAGUAAGACAGGCGUGAAAUCCCCGGGCUCAACCUGGGAACUGCGCUUGUGACUGCUAAGCUAGAGUACGGCAGAGGGGGGUGGAAUGCCACGUGUAGCAGUGAAAUGCGUAGAGAUGUGGAGGAACACCGAUGGCGAAGGCAGCCCCCUGGGCCGAUACUGACGCUCAUGCACGAAAGCGUGGGUAGCAAACA
rnacentral:rRNA from 1 species